AAAUUGAAGAGUUUGAUCAUGGCUCAGAUUGAACGCUGGCGGCAGGCCUAACACAUGCAAGUCGAACGGUAACAGGAAGCAGCUUGCUGCUUUGCUGACGAGUGGCGGACGGGUGAGUAAUGUCUGGGAAACUGCCUGAUGGAGGGGGAUAACUACUGGAAACGGUAGCUAAUACCGCAUAAUGUCGCAAGACCAAAGAGGGGGACCUUCGGGCCUCUUGCCAUCGGAUGUGCCCAGAUGGGAUUAGCUAGUAGGUGGGGUAACGGCUCACCUAGGCGACGAUCCCUAGCUGGUCUGAGAGGAUGACCAGCCACACUGGAACUGAGACACGGUCCAGACUCCUACGGGAGGCAGCAGUGGGGAAUAUUGCACAAUGGGCGCAAGCCUGAUGCAGCCAUGCCGCGUGUAUGAAGAAGGCCUUCGGGUUGUAAAGUACUUUCAGCGGGGAGGAAGGGAGUAAAGUU
rnacentral:rRNA from 1 species